CAACCCGAUGCAAACUGCGAAUACCGGAGAAUGUUAUCACGGGAGACACACGGCGGGUGCUAACGUCCGUCGUGAAGAGGGAAACAACCCAGACCACCAGCUAAGGUCCCAAAGUCAUGGUUAAGUGGGAAACGAUGUGGGAAGGCCCAGACAGCCAGGAUGUUGGCUUAGAAGCAGCCAUCAUUUAAAGAAAGCGUAAUAGCUCACUGGUCGAGUCGGCCUGCGCGGAAGAUGUAACGGGGCUAAACCAUGCACCGAAGCUGCGGCAGCGACGCUUAUGCGUUGUUGGGUAGGGGAGCGUUCUGUAAGCCUGUGAAGGUGUGCUGUGAGGCAUGCUGGAGGUAUCAGAAGUGCGAAUGCUGACAUAAGUAACGAUAAAGCGGGUGAAAAGCCCGCUCGCCGGAAGACCAAGGGUUCCUGUCCAACGUUAAUCGGGGCAGGGUGAGUCGACCCCUAAGGCGAGGCCGAAAGGCGUAGUCGAUGGGAAACAGGUUAAUAUUCCUGUACUUGGUGUUACUGCGAAGGGGGGACGGAGAAGGCUAUGUUGGCCGGGCGACGGUUGUCCCGGUUUAAGCGUGUAGGCUGGUUUUCCAGGCAAAUCCGGAAAACCAAGGCUGAGGCGUGAUGACGAGGCACUACGGUGCUGAAGCGACAAAUGCCCUGCUUCCAGGAAAAGCCUCUAAGCAUCAGGUAACAUCAAAUCGUACCCCAAACCGACACAGGUGGUCAGGUAGAGAAUACCAAGGCGCUUGAGAGAACUCGGGUGAAGGAACUAGGCAAAAUGGUGCCGUAACUUCGGGAGAAGGCACGCUGAUAUGUAGGUGAAGCGACUUGCUCGUGGAGCUGAAAUCAGUCGAAGAUACCAGCUGGCUGCAACUGUUUAUUAAAAACACAGCACUGUGCAAACACGAAAGUGGACGUAUACGGUGUGACGCCUGCCCGGUGCCGGAAGGUUAAUUGAUGGGGUUAGCGGCAACGCGAAGCUCUUGAUCGAAGCCCCGGUAAACGGCGGCCGUAACUAUAACGGUCCUAAGGUAGCGAAAUUCCUUGUCGGGUAAGUUCCGACCUGCACGAAUGGCGUAAUGAUGGCCAGGCUGUCUCCACCCGAGACUCAGUGAAAUUGAACUCGCUGUGAAGAUGCAGUGUACCCGCGGCAAGACGGAAAGACCCCGUGAACCUUUACUAUAGCUUGACACUGAACAUUGAGCCUUGAUGUGUAGGAUAGGUGGGAGGCUUUGAAGUGUGGACGCCAGUCUGCAUGGAGCCGACCUUGAAAUACCACCCUUUAAUGUUUGAUGUUCUAACGUUGGCCCGUAAUCCGGGUUGCGGACAGUGUCUGGUGGGUAGUUUGACUGGGGCGGUCUCCUCCUAAAGAGUAACGGAGGAGCACGAAGGUUGGCUAAUCCUGGUCGGACAUCAGGAGGUUAGUGCAAUGGCAUAAGCCAGCUUGACUGCGAGCGUGACGGCGCGAGCAGGUGCGAAAGCAGGUCAUAGUGAUCCGGUGGUUCUGAAUGGAAGGGCCAUCGCUCAACGGAUAAAAGGUACUCCGGGGAUAACAGGCUGAUACCGCCCAAGAGUUCAUAUCGACGGCGGUGUUUGGCACCUCGAUGUCGGCUCAUCACAUCCUGGGGCUGAAGUAGGUCCCAAGGGUAUGGCUGUUCGCCAUUUAAAGUGGUACGCGAGCUGGGUUUAGAACGUCGUGAGACAGUUCGGUCCCUAUCUGCCGUGGGCGCUGGAGAAUUGAGGGGGGCUGCUCCUAGUACGAGAGGACCGGAGUGGACGCAUCACUGGUGUUCGGGUUGUCAUGCCAAUGGCACUGCCCGGUAGCUAAAUGCGGAAGAGAUAAGUGCUGAAAGCAUCUAAGCACGAAACUUGCCCCGAGAUGAGUUCUCCCUGACUCCUUGAGAGUCCUGAAGGAACGUUGAAGACGACGACGUUGAUAGGCCGGGUGUGUAAGCGCAGCGAUGCGUUGAGCUAACCGGUACUAAUGAACCGUGAGGCUUAACCUU
rnacentral:rRNA from 1 species